rnacentral:rRNA from 1 species
AUACGGAGGGUGCAAGCGUUAUUCGGAAUCACUGGGCGUAAAGGACGCGUAGGCGGGUUGGCAAGUCAGAUGUGAAAUCCUACAGCUUAACUGUAGAACUGCAUUUGAAACUGCUAACCUAGAGUAUGGGAGGGGGAGAUGGAAUUAGUGGUGUAGGGGUAAAAUCCGUAGAUAUCACUGGGAAUACCGAAAGCGAAGGCGAUCUCCUGGAACAUAACUGACGCUAAGGCGUGAAAGCGUGGGGAGCAAACAGGAUUAGAAACCCUUGUAGUCC